UAGCUGCAGAGCUGGAGAGGCAAGGGGUUUCCUGGUGAUGCAUUCCUAUUCAGAAGCAUGGUGUCAAUUCAGAGGAUUCUGGGAAAUCCUUUAGGCAUGAAGCAAUUGAGUUAGUUUGGGGUUUGACUUGAAGGAGUGAUCAUAAAGAGAAUGAUAACUUUGGUGUUUGUUGCAAUGGAGAAAAGACUCUGUGAGGAAGGAAAAGUAACUGGAAAUCAAUACCAUCUUUGGAGAGAAUCCCCUUUUGCCCAUUGUUGCAAGACUCAGAUGUUUGUUUGAGCAUCUCACUCCAGCAACAUCCUUCCAGAUUCUCAUGAUUUGAACACUAGAUCUCCGCUGCAUGCUCAUGUUUUUGUUCCUUGUUCCCUGGCUUGCUGUGCCAUUUUGGGAGGCUGUGGAAUCUCUACUGUUGAGACCUAACUUGCAAAAGUAAGCAGUCCUCUCAAAGGUAUGAAUUUCUUAUGAGCCAGAAACCAUGACCUAUGUAAGAGGAUAUUAAAGGAAGGACACAACUUCCUUGUGAUAGUUCAGACUGCUUUCAGCUACUACCACAGAACAAGUGACAAGGCAGUAAUACAUUCUGCUGGAGAGCUCACUGAUAAGAACCCUGUGAAGAUGCUCUUGGUCUCUGUGGAUGCUUUGCUGUUUACACUUACCCUUUCUCAUCCUACAUCUGAAUAAGAAAGUUGAAUGGAAAACUUCAAUAUCUGAAGACACAAAAUGGAUUUUGAUGUUGAAAAAGACUUUUAAAUGGAGGAAGUCACGGAUAACAAUUCCAUAAAUAAGGUGGUUCUGAAUCUCAGUAUGUGAGACUUGAAUGAGAUAGUACAGACUUACAACGACUGACAACAUAUGACAAAUUUCAUGUUUUCAAUAACAUAAUUACAAUAAAUGCAAUGAAAUAAAAAUUUGUAAGUCUA